ensembl:lncRNA
GAGGGAAGGGAAGGGAAGGGAAGGGAAGGGGAAGGGAAUGGGGCAGGGGAUGUCUUAGUUUCCGGGAAGGCUCCAUCCCAGUUCGCCGAACUAGAACAGGACCUGCAGAAAUGGGCGCUGGGCUGCAGUGUGGCCGCCAGGGGGCAGCAGGACGCCGCCCAGAGCCUCUGGCCCUGCGCCCUGCAGAUGCCUCUGCUCCUGCCCUUGUGGGAGCACAGGGAGCCCCAGGCUUCUCGGAGGGAGCGCAGGCACUAUGUUGUUUCUUCCCUCGGAAAGCGGAAACAUCCACUUGUGUGUGACGUCUCCUCGCGGAUUUCUGCAGUCACCUGGCUGCUUGAAAGGACCCCGUUAAUAUUUUAUUUUCCUUGGAUCCCCAAGGCGAGUGUCUUGCUCUCGGCCUUGGGAACAGGAAGAGGGGGGUGGGAAGGGACCAGGCCCAGCCCUUGUGUGCACCGAACGUGACUGCUGAGCUGGGAACUGGGUCUGCCUCAGUUUCCCCUCCCUCUUUCAUGCCUGCUGCUCCCGGCCUCACGUCCCCCUGGUCCUUGCAGAGCCAUGGCCUGGCUUGGAGCCCCUACCCUGGGUCUGGGGUCUCGGCCCCGGGACACAGGGGCCCCUCCAUGCCGUCCUUGCUGUUCAACCUCCUCUCUGAGCCCAGAGGGAGAGAAAGCAGGGAGGCCUGGAGGGCAGUUCUCUGAGACAGACAGGUAGACAAAGCCUUGGCCAAUCUUACCAAGAAAAGAAAAGCAAAGACUGAAUCGGUGGAGUUAGGCACGAAAAGGACUCGGUGAUACGCCCUCUGGUCAGUGAGGUCCCCGUCCACACAGCCGUGGCCUUCGAGCUCACACUCAUCUCUGAGGAGAGUCAUGGCCCGCGCUUCCUGUCCCCAGCCCUGUGCCUCCUCUGUGUGUCAGGGCUCCACUCUCCAGCAGUGCCCAGAGCACCAGGCGCCUGCCCCGUGCACGGGGACUCGGAUUUCCAUCUGCAGCUGCCGUGGGAAGUACCUGGAGCUCCCCACAAGCACAGUUCGUAGAGAGAAGGAGGAACAGGGGGAUUAUUUUCCUUUUACAGUGACAUAACUGAGAAAGAAGAAGGCACAAGAUUUCUUCCCUGGAACAAGUCUGUUUCUACAUAUCAUUAAGGACGAACUUUAUUUUCCUCCCUCGCUGAGUUCUCCAGUAUGCCUAAGUGCUUGGUGUUUUCUGUCUUUAUAUGGCUGAGAUUGAAUCGUUGAAUGUCGCCAAUCCCCACUCUAUCAGGCCCCUCAGGAAGGGGAUGAGCGGUGAAAGGACAACUACCCAGUUACCCUGGGCAGCCCGGGCAGCCUGCGCAUCCUCUCCAUUUGGGGGGGGUGGUUCUCAUGGGAGACCAAGGGUCUGAAUUAGCUCUGCACAGGCACCUCUGUCUCGGCCUUGACUCCAAGGACAGGCUUGGUCAUUGUCCUUGGAGAAGACAUUUCCCAACGGUGCCAUGCCCCACAGUGGUGACGCAGGAGUCUGUCGUGUGUGGGCUCCACAGCCAAGGCCUCCCCACCCCAGGCUAAGGGCAGAUGUGCCUGGAAGCCCUGGUGUCGGACUGACCCCAGGCAGAGGACUACGAAGAGAAGACGUUUCUGUCUCUCUCGGGCCCGGGGCCCCAGCUCAGCCUGACUCCUGCUGGGGACUCGGGGCCCAGCCUCCCUGCCCUCCACGGAGAGAGGGAGCCCAGCUGCCAGUGCACCUGAUCCUUCCAAGGACAGGCCGAGGGGGGAGGAGAGAGGACAGGAACACUCCCUGGCAAGUCCACUCCGUGCUCCUACAGAAACACAGGGUCUAAAGGGUCUGGCUCUGGCCAAAAGGGCACCUAACCAUCGCGUCACAGGUCAGUUAAGGAGCCGAAUUCUGAGACGGCCGAGGACGCUGGGCAGGUCCCGCUUCAGCUACAGCAAGGCCAGCUCCACACUCCUCCGAGUCCCCCAGCUUCCUGAGUCACAGUGAGACACGCCUCCCACCGGGAGCCAAACCCAGGGCCAGCGCAGGGUCGGGUGCAGACAGAGACUCUGCAGCCUGCAGGCCAGGUCCCCAGGGCAUCAGCAGCACUGUCUGGGGCCAGGGGACACAGCUGUCCACUCACACCGGCCCCUGCCCGCAGCUCUUCCAAGUCACGGUGGCCAAAAGCCACGAGCAUACGAUAGAAACUGCACCUCCCAGCUCUGCUGUGUUGAGCCGCCUGGAGCCGCACAGGGCUCGCGAGAGGCGGAGCAUUUGCUGAGCUGAGCUGUGACAGGGCUCUAUGCGCCCUCUCUGACUGGGGACAUCAUCAACUUUCGAGGCGUGUGCCCUGUGCCGGGACCUGGCCCCACCAUUUGGGUUGGACAGGUGCAUACUUAGGGAACUGACUUGCGAAGCUGUGGAGGACAUAAGUCCGAAUUCUGCGGGCAAGCGAGAGUCAGCAGGCUGGAGACCCAAGGAAACCCUGAGGCCGGCUGGACUCCACGCCCUGUGGCAGAUCUCCUUCCGAAGGAGAGCCGUCCUUUCUACCCUGCAGCCUUCAGCUGACUGGUGGGCCCAGGCUCGUCCCGGAGGGAGGGUAACCUGCCGUCAUGGUUUAGAUGUAGAAUGCCCCCCAAAGCAGCCCCAGCUGGCCCCAAGCUCAUGCAAUCUGGCGACCCUCCUACCUCGGCCUCCUGAGCGUUGGGAUCCCAGGCCUGCACUACCAUGCAGGCUCCAGCAGUAAGGCUUUUAAAAGGCGCUCGGGUCAGGGGUGCUACAGGCCUCAGCGGAUUUGCCAGUGGAAGAGCUCAGGGCUAAGUGCAGCUGGGCUGCGGCCCCAGGGACCUCCCUGCCCAGUCCUCCCUUCUCUCUGCUCCCGGCUGCCUUUGUGAGCAGCCUUUCUCCACCAGGUCCUCCCACCCUGCCAUUACUGUGGGGGAUUAGCUCCAGUUUCCAGCUGCCUCUUGAUGUAAAUGGUUUUUCAAAUCACAAAGAAAUUAGAGAAAAAUUCAGGUUCCACCAACUCUGAAGUUGAACACUGAAAUGGGCAUUGAAAUACUCCUAAAAGUUUGGGGUUUUUUUUAAUAUAUAUUUUAACAAAUACCAAUAUUAACUGGUCUCUGUGAAUUUUACCUAAUAAACUUGUUCAUGG